CAGGACAUUUGAGUAUUGACAUGUUUAAAAAGUCGAUGUUUCUAAUGUUUUCUACUGCUGUAAAAUCAACAGUAAUGACUUCUGGUAGUUUCACACCAGAAAACCCACUGGGAAUCAUGGCAGUGGACGGAAUGAGUUUCGUCAGAAUUCUUGCUAAUAGGAAUGCCUUGCAUUGCGAUGAAUCUUCAGACAGCCUUCAACAGGCCUCAGGGGAGACAUAUAGGCUAAUGAAUCAUAACCCAGUGCCUGUGCUUUACUGUGAUCAUCUGUGUUUACAAGAGGCACCGCCUAUAUAAAGUGACACCCCACAGGAACUGUGACUGGUUCAGCAAGGUUUUUAAACUCUCUGACCCCUGCUGCCACCUCAUCAAACCAGUAUGAUGG